rnacentral:rRNA from 1 species
UCAAGCCAACAAUUUUGACCAACCUUAAAUGGGCCCACUCUUGUCAGAUCUCAGACACUAAGCAGGGUUGAGCCGGUGCAAUACUUGCAUGGGAGACUGCUGGGGACUACCAGGCUUGGCUUACG